CUAUACUGGCCCUUCCACUUUGGUGUAGUUUUUGUUUGUAUUGGUACUGAAUGAACAUAUCAAACAAAGGCGAGCAGUAUAAGCCCUUCUCCGGCCUGGGAAAAGCAGCGAACUCUAGAAGCUAGGGCUUUGUUCACCUUUGGACACGAACACUAUUCCGUUCUCAGCGGAAACCCGCCUUAGAGAUUGAACGGCAAUAAGAUAAGUCAACGUUCAAUCUAAGACAGCGCUGAGCGCUGAUAGCUUGUAGUGAACAGCCCCA
rnacentral:lncRNA from 1 species